AACGCGAAGAACCUUACCUGGGCUUGAACCGUUGGAAGUAGAAUUGAUGAAAGUCGAGACGACCUGUAAAGUCAGGAACCAAUAGAGGUGCUGCAUGGCUGUCGUCAGCUCGUGUCGUGAGAUGUUGGGUUAAGUCCCGCAACGAGCGCAACCCUUACCCUAUGUUGCUACGUCUGUAAUGGACAGCACUCUUAGGGAACUGCCUCGGACAACGGGGAGGAAGGUGGGGAUGACGUCAAGUCACCAUGGCCUUUAUGUCCAGGGCUACACACGUGCUACAAUGGCCGGUACAACGAGCAGCAAAUCCGCAAGGAGGAGCAAAUCUCUAAAAGCCGGCCCCAGUUCAGAUAGUGGGCUGCAAUUCGCCCACUUGAAGGCGGAAUCGCUAGUAAUCGGAGAUCAGCUGGCUCCGGUGAAUACGUUCCCGGGCCUUGUACACACCGGCUAC
rnacentral:rRNA from 1 species